UGGGGAGUCUUGCACAAUGGGGGCAACCCUGAUGCAGCGACGCCGCGUGAGCGAUGAAGCCCUUCGGGGCGUAAAGCUCUUUCGACCGGAACGAUAAUGACGGUACCGGGAGAAGAAGCUGCGGCUAACUACGUGCCAGCAGCCGCGGUAAUACGUAGGCAGCAAGCGUUGUUCGGAGUUACUGGGCGUAAAGAGUGCGUAGGCGGUUUUCUAAGUUCGGUGUGAAAUCUCCCGGCCUAACUGGGAGGGUGCGCCGAAGACUGGGAAGCUGGAGUGUGGGAAAGGCAGGCGGAAUUCCUGGUGUAGCGGUGAAAUGCGUAGAUAUCAGGAGGAACACCGGCGGUGUAGACGGCUUGCUAGACCAUAACUGACGCUGAGGCACGAAAGCGUGGGUAGCAAACA
rnacentral:rRNA from 1 species